rnacentral:rRNA from 1 species
UACGUAGGCAGCAAGCGUUGUUCGGAAUUACUGGGCGUAAAGAGUGUGUAGGCGGUGCUCUAAGUUCGUUGUGAAAUCUCCCGGCUUAACUGGGAGGGUGCGGCGGAAACUGGAGUGCUUGAGCGCGGGAGAGGAAAGCGGAAUCCCUGGUGUAGCGGUGAAAUGCGUAGAUAUCAGGAGGAACACCUGUGGUGUAGACGGCUUUCUGGACCGUAGCUGACGCUGAGACACGAAAGCGUGGGUAGCAAACAGG